AUUGAACGCUGGCGGCAGGCCUAACACAUGCAAGUCGCACGAGUGGUGGACGGGUGAGUAAUGUCUGGGAAACUGCCUGAUGGAGGGGGAUAACUACUGGAAACUGUAGCUAAUACCGCAUACCAUAAGAUGUGCCCAGAUGGGAUUAGCUAGUUGGUGGGGUAAAGGCUCCCCAAGGCGACGAUCCCUAGCGGGUCUGAGAGGAUGACCAGCCAGACUGGGAAGGAGCCACGGUCCAGACUCCUACGGGAGGCAGCAGUGGGGAAUAUUGCGCAAUGGGGGCAAGCAUGAUGCAGCCAUGCCGCGUGUAUGAAGAAGGCCUUCGGGUUGUAAAGUACUUUCAGCAGGGAGGCGUUAACAGCAGAAGAAGCACCUGCUAACGCCGUGCCAGCAGCCGCGGUAAUAC
rnacentral:rRNA from 1 species